rnacentral:rRNA from 1 species
GAAGGUGUGCUGUGAGGCAUGCUGGAGGUAUCAGAAGUGCGAAUGCUGACAUAAGUAACGAUAAAGCGGGUGAAAAGCCCGCUCGCCGGAAGACCAAGGGUUCCUGUCCAACGUUAAUCGGGGCAGGGUGAGUCGACCCCUAAGGCGAGGCCGAAAGGCGUAGUCGAUGGGAAACAGGUUAAUAUUCCUGUACUUGGUGUUACUGCGAAGGGGGGACGGAGAAGGCUAUGUUGGCCGGGCGACGGUUGUCCCGGUUUAAGCGUGUAGGCUGGUUUUCCAGGCAAAUCCGGAAAAUCAAGGCUGAGGCGUGAUGACGAGGCACUACGGUGCUGAAGCAACAAAUGCCCUGCUUCCAGGAAAA